rnacentral:rRNA from 1 species
UACAGAGGGUGCAAGCGUUGUUCGGAAUUAUUGGGCGUAAAGGGCGCGUAGGCGGUUCGGCAAGUCUCUAGUGAAAUCUCAGGGCUCAACUCUGAGUCUGCUGGGGAAACUGCCGGGCUUGAGUGUGGGAGAGGAGAGUGGAAUUCCCGGUGUAGCGGUGAAAUGCGUAGAUAUGUGGAGGAACACCGAUGGCGAAGGCAGCCCCCUGGGAUAACACUGACGCUCAUGCACGAAAGCGUGGGGAGCAAACAGG